rnacentral:rRNA from 1 species
AACGAACGCUGGCGGCAGGCUUAACACAUGCAAGUCGAGCGCCCCGCAAGGGGAGCGGCAGACGGGUGAGUAACGCGUGGGAAUCUACCCAUCUCUACGGAAUAACGCAUGGAAACGUGUGCUAAUACCGUAUACGUCCUUCGGGAGAAAGAUUUAUCGGAGAUGGAUGAGCCCGCGUUGGAUUAGCUAGUUGGUGGGGUAAAGGCCUACCAAGGCGACGAUCCAUAGCUGGUCUGAGAGGAUGAUCAGCCACACUGGGACUGAGACACGGCCCAGACUCCUAGGGGAGGCAGAAGUGGGGAAUAUUGGACAAUGGGCGCAAGCCUGAUCCAGCCAUGCCGCGUGAGUGAUGAAGGCCCUAGGGUUGUAAAGCUCUUUCACCGGUGAAGAUAAUGACGGUAACCGGAGAAGAAGCCCCGGCUAACUUCGUGCCAGCAGCCGCCGUAACAC